rnacentral:rRNA from 1 species
UAGGGAAUCUUCGGCAAUGGGGGGAACCCUGACCGAGCAACGCCGCGUGAGUGAAGAAGGUUUUCGGAUCGUAAAGCUCUGUUGUUAAGGAAGAACGAGUGUGAGAAUGGAAAGUUCAUACUGUGACGGUACUUAACCAGAAAGGGACGGCUAACUACGUGCCAGCAGCCGCGGUAAUACGUAGGUCCCGAGCGUUGUCCGGAUUUAUUGGGCGUAAAGCGAGCGCAGGCGGUUAGAAAAGUCUGAAGUGAAAGGCAGUGGCUCAACCAUUGUAGGCUUUGGAAACUGUUUAACUUGAGUGCAGAAGGGGGGAGUGGAAUUCCAUGUGUAGCGGUGAAAUUCGUAGUUAUAUGGAGGAACACCGGUGGCGAAAGCGGCUCUCUGGUCUGUAACUGACGCUGAGGCUCGAAAGCGUGGGGAGCGAACAGG